rnacentral:rRNA from 1 species
UACGUAGGGGGCAAGCGUUGUCCGGAUUUAUUGGGCGUAAAGAGCGUGUAGGCGGCCUUACAGGUCAGCUGUGAAAACUCGAGGCUCAACUUCGAGCUGUCGGUGGAAACUUUCUGGCUAGAGUCCGGAAGAGGAGAAUGGAAUUCCUGGUGUAGCGGUGAAAUGCGCAGAUAUCAGGAAGAACACCCGUGGCGAAGGCGGUUCUCUGGGACGGUACUGACGCUGAGACGCGAAAGCGUGGGGAGCGAACAGG